AGCCCGUUGGUGAAGCGGCCUAACACACCACUUUCUCAAGGUGGCAUUCACGGGUUCGAACCCCGUACGGGUUACCA
rnacentral:tRNA from 1 species